rfam:Ornithorhynchus anatinus chromosome 2, whole genome shotgun sequence.
CCUCUCUCAGCAUCGCACCUGGAGAGUUUCCAGUACUCUACAAGUCUUGGCUAAGGAAGGGAGAGUCAAGCAGAGGCCUAACCAUUCCAUUCCUAGCUUGGGCAGUGGUUAGCAAGUGGAAGACAAUCUGCUACAAAA